UAACACGUAUGGAACCUGCCCGUAGCAGGGGGAUAAGCGGAAGAAAUUCCGUCUAAUACCGCGUAAUAACUCCGAGAGGCAUCUCAUGGAGUUUAAAGGGUAACACCGGCUACGGAUGGCCAUGCGGCGCAUUAGCUAGUUGGCGGGGUAACGGCCCACCAAGGCGACGAUGCGUAGGGGUUCUGAGAGGAAGGUCCCCCACACUGGUACUGAGACACGGACCAGACUCCUACGGGAGGCAGCAGUGAGGAAUAUUGGUCAAUGGGCGCGAGCCUGAACCAGCCAAGUCGCGUGAGGGAAGACGGUCCUUUGGAUUGUAAACCUCUUUUGUCGGGGAGCAAAAGACGCCACGCGUGGCGUUCCGAGAGUACCCGAAGAAAAAGCAUCGGCUAACUCCGUGCCAGCAGCCGCGGUAAUACGGAGGAUGCGAGCGUUAUCCGGAUUUAUUGGGUUUAAAGGGUGCGCAGGCGGAAGAUCAAGUCAGCGGUAAAAUUGAGAGGCUCAACCUCUUCGAGCCGUUGAAACUGGUUUUCUUGAGUGAGCGAGAAGUAUGCGGAAUGCGUGGUGUAGCGGUGAAAUGCAUAGAUAUCACGCAGAACUCCGAUUGCGAAGGCAGCAUACCGGCGCUCAACUGACGCUCAUGCACGNNGUGUGGGUAUCGAACAGGAUUAGAUACCCUGGUAGUCCACACAGU
rnacentral:rRNA from 1 species